GGUUUCACGUUUGAAGAUCCAUUUAUUAAAAAAUUGUGAAAUAGAAUGUGAUGGAUUUACUGUCUCUAUAGACCAAGAAUGCACCCAGCAACCAAAUUCGGUUGAUUGUGGUGUCUACUUAAUGAAAUUUAUGGAAUGUCUUUCCCGUGGAGAUAUAUUUGAUUUCAACUCGGGGCCAAUAAAUUUUGAACGAAAAAAGUUGGUUGCACAACUGAUGCUGGGCAAAAUGAUUACACCACAAUAAUGUGACAUGUAAAGGCUUGUCGGUUGAUAACAAUUCGCAAGGAGUAUAACAGCUAUAUGGAGCUCUUUCUGCUCAAAUGUGGUUGGGGAUGAUCUUCUCAGGAGUUUUUGUUUUUUUUUUUUAGGUCCAAUGAAUGCAAUUGUUGCAUGGUAGCCUGUUAACAGUUUAGAUUGUUCAAUUAGAGUAUCCAAGUUAUGGAUUGGAUCAUCCUAUCAAUACAAUAAAACCAAAUCAGGCAACAGGUGCAAUAGGGCCAAAUCAAGGAUUGAUAAAGGCUUCUGUUUUUUUCUUUUUUCUUUUUUGUGUGGUGGCCUGUUAAAUGUGUUUUGGAUUUAAUGGACAAUUCAAAUUGUUCAA